rnacentral:rRNA from 1 species
GAUGAACGCUGGCGGCGUGCCUAAUACAUGCAAGUCGAGCGGACGGACCAGAAGCUUGCUGCGCUGAUGUUAGGGGCGGACGGGGGAGUAACACGUGGAAAACCUACCUAUAAUACUGGGAAAACUUCGGGAAACCGGGGCUAAUAGCGGAGGAUCUUUUGAACCGCAUGGUUGGAUAGUGAAAGACGGUCUUUCUGUCACGUAUCGAUGGAUCCGCGCUGCAUGGGCUAGUUGGUGAGGUAACGGGUUACGAAGGCAACGAGGCAUGGCCGACCUGAGAGGGGGGUCGGCCACCCUGGAACUGGGACGCGGUCCUGACUACUACGGGAGGCAGCAGAGGGGUAUCUUCCGCAAUGGGCGAAAGCCUGACGGAGUGACGCGGCGUGAGUUAUGACAGUGUUGGGAUCGGAAUGCUCUCUUAUUAGUGAAGAACAUAUGUGUCAGUACCUGUGGUCAGCUUGACGGUACCUAGUCAGAAAGCCCCGGCUAACUACGUG